rnacentral:tRNA from 1 species
GAGGGUAUGGCUCAAGUGGUAGAGCGCAUGCUUAGCAUGCAUGAGGUCCUGGGUUCAAUCCCCAGUACCUCCU